CGGGGUCUAAUACCGGAUACCACUCCUGUCUGCAUGGGCAGGGGUUGAAAGCUCCGGCGGUGAAGGAUGAGCCCGCGGCCUAUCAGCUUGUUGGUGGGGUAAUGGCCCACCAAGGCGACGACGGGUAGCCGGCCUGAGAGGGCGACCGGCCACACUGGGACUGAGACACGGCCCAGACUCCUACGGGAGGCAGCAGUGGGGAAUAUUGCACAAUGGGCGAAAGCCUGAUGCAGCGACGCCGCGUGAGGGAUGACGGCCUUCGGGUUGUAAACCUCUUUCAGCAGGGAAGAAGCGAAAGUGACGGUACCUGCAGAAGAAGCGCCGGCUAACUACGUGCCAGCAGCCGCGGUAAUACGUAGGGCGCAAGCGUUGUCCGGAAUUAUUGGGCGUAAAGAGCUCGUAGGCGGCUUGUCACGUCGGAUGUGAAAGCCCGAGGCUUAACCUCGGGUCUGCAUUCGAUACGGGCUAGCUAGAGUGUGGUAGGGGAGAUCGGAAUUCCUGGUGUAGCGGUGAAAUGCGCAGAUAUCAGGAGGAACACCGGUGGCGAAGGCGGAUCUCUGGGCCAUUACUGACGCUGAGGAGCGAAAGCGUGGGGAGCGAACAGGAUUAGAUACCCUGGUAGUCCACGCCGUAAACGUUGGGAACUAGGUGUUGGCGACAUUCCACGUCGUCGGUGCCGCAGCUAACGCAUUAAGUUCCCCGCCUGGG
rnacentral:rRNA from 1 species